rnacentral:lncRNA from 1 species
AUGGAGGAACUUCACCAGAUGGACUCAUUGGGGCUACUUUACUGCCUUUACAGGGAGCCUGGAGUCCCAGGAAUGACCUUGGAGAGGGACAGGCUCCCAGGCCAGGAGGCGGUGACAUUCAAGGAUGUGGCUGUGGAGUUCACUCGGGAGGAGUGGUGCCUCUUGUCCCCUCCCCAGAAGGAGCUGUAUAAGGAGGUGAUGCUGGAGAAUGCCCAGAAUCUGCUCUCUGUGGGUAAGGAACCCUCUCCCUGCUGCCCGAGUCUGCCAUCCAAAGGAAUAUCGCCCUCAGGGGCAGGCAAAAUUGGGAGCAGUUUUCAGUCAUGAGGAAGGGAUGGUGGCUGGUAUGAUGAAUCCCAGAGCCAGGGCUCUCCUGCUGCCUGGUGCUCCUAUAAAAGUCCUUUGCAUUGUGUAAUGGGACCUCGGGGGACUCCCUUUGAUGCUCCUGAAGUUCAAGAUCGAAUGCGUGUUGGAGAAUCUCAGACCUGGAAGUAAUCUCAGAUCUGAUUUCGUCUUGCCUCUCCCUAGCCUGGAAUUGGGUCUCCCAAACCCAUCUGGAAAAACUGUUCAGGAGGGUUUUCCUCCCACCCUCUUCUGCUCUAGGGUGGAUCUACUAUUGAGGAUCUUUUUCUCUUUAACCAGCAUAAACUUGUAGCUCACAGCACCUCUAUGUCCCUAGAAGAGAUGGUUUGUCCUUAGUCUUCCUUCCUAUUGCUCUAAUCCUCCAGUAAACCCAGUGAGUAAGAGAGGGAAGGGUUGAAGCAUUUAUAACAAUGUCCUCUUGUCCCAGGGCUCUGCCAAGAAGGGUUUUCUCUGUAAUAUGGCACUUCUUCCUCACCUUCAUCUUCCUAAUUCAGUGAUACAAUUUUCACCAUUUCACAGAUGAGGAAAUAGUUUUGAUUAAGUGGCAUGUUCUGAGGCACCUAUAUAGGGGCUGUUUCUGACAAAAUGUAAACUGAGCCUCCCUACUCCCUCCCCUUUUAGCUGCCUCUCAUUUCCACAUAAUGGAAAACUGGAUUGAGUCUAGCCUUCUCUAAAGAAAAGGCCCUAGAACCUAAUAUUCUGGUUUCAGAUUGGUUCCCUUACCUUCUCCACCCUCCUCUUCCCACACUAUAUACUGGGGAGACUCUCCUCCAGGAGGCCCCUGAAAUCUCCUACAGGUCCUGCUUGCCCUCCUCAGUGAUUGUCAAGAUGAAUGAACUGGCUGAGAGACAGCAUUGGGCCAAAAGAGCUUUGUUGAGUUCCCCAGGAGAGGAGGUAGAGACUCCCUGAAGAAGAGUCCAGGAGACUCAGAGAGGUGUCACGGAGAGAGGAGCAGACAGGGUGG